CAGUAGCCGCGGGAAUACGUAGGUGGCGAGCGUUGUCCGGAAUCAUUGGGCGUAAAGGGAGCGCAGGCGGGCAUGUAAGUCUUUCUUAAAAGUGCGGGGCUCAACCCCGUGAUGGGAAAGAAACUACAUGUCUUGAGUACAGGAGAGGAAAGCGGAAUUCCCAGUGUAGCGGUGAAAUGCGUAGAUAUUGGGAGGAACACCAGUGGCGAAGGCGGCUUUCUGGACUGCGACUGACGCUGAGGCUCGGAAGCCAGGGGAGCGAACGGGAUUAGAUACCCCAGUAGUCCCUGUCUCUUAUACA
rnacentral:rRNA from 1 species